rnacentral:rRNA from 1 species
AUGAGCGCGCUAGGCCUCGUAGAGCGCCCGCUGCUCGGCUACGAAGUUAUGGUUCUUUGCCGCCACUGCCUUCUCGCUUGCACUCGCCGUAUAUUUGGCCCCCUACUAGCCGAUGCUGCUCGAGGAGGGAGAGGUUGUACUGCUGAUCCUCCUGCGCCUGCCAUAACGCCAACAACGACGGCGCGUCGGCUACUCCUCCGCCAUGGUGUCGUUGAAGUGUGCAUACACCAGCUCCAUGCAUGGUCAAGUCGACAUGGACCGGUGGGGGCUCCGAAGCCGAGUCAUCGUCGGAGCCCGUCUCCCUUGUCAGGUCAGUCAUUGGAGACCUCCGGGGAGCUGGUCCGCAUGCCGCCCUCGAUUACAUAUGGACAAAUCUGUUUGGAAACAGAGCUCUUUUAUCGCGGAAUUAGACCAGCUAUUAACAUCGGCUUAUCGGUCAGUCGCAUCGGGUCUGCCGCUCAGUUGAAAGCUAUGAAACAAGUCUGCGGUAGAAAACGUUCUCGUUCCCCAUUUUCGUGCGCAUGCAGAUAUAUGCAUAGCGAGACAAACGAAUUGCCUCUCGUUGUGGCCCCAUUUGUUCCCGAUUUAGUGCAAUCGCACGGCGGCGCUGCCAACUGGCCGCAAGGGCGGCCACCUUGUGCUUCUACUCCAUCGAGAGGCUCUCCUACAACACAUUACCGCUCGCGGGCAUAGCGGAUGUGGUGCAUGAAAUGAGGACGUGGAGCGUAUGUGUUGUGGCGCGGUUUGUGCCGUGAGUUGCCUCGUUUAAAUAGCAGAUACCAGUGAGGACAAGCGAUGUGGUGUGUCAAUGGGGACGCCGGAGUGGUUUCUCCACCGGCGGGCCUGUUCAAUGCCGGCAGGCAGACAAACGAGCUGCCCGUUUGAAUGCGGUAGAUAUUUGACCCAUCCCGUCCUCUCAUGUACAUGAGAGGUCGUGUCCGCUCUGAGCCGGCAUGAAUGCGGCACUCGCGCUCUCGAGCGGCAUGAAUGUGUGGCAACCACUUCGGGUGAUAAAGAAUGCGGGGAGAGGGAGAGGGUUUUGGGUGGGUCCGGGGUGUCGGACAUUGUCGUGGCAGCGAUCUGGAUGCCCACAACGCCUGUUCUCUCCCCCAAAAUACUCCGGACGUAUGCGGGUGGUUUGAGAGUCAGGGUUGAAGAUGCCCUAACAUACUAAAAGAAUUUAUGUGAGAUUUAGCACACUGAAAUAUAAUCCCACGUAUUUCAUUAUCACACGAGAAAUCAACUCAUCUCUCUAGCGCUAGCAGUAAACGAAAUGAGGGUCGUGCAUUUCCUUCCCCGGAAGGAAUCUUACUAUCUUAGCAUAACCACAAGGCAUCGAUCACCUCCUUGCUCUCCAUGGCUUGGUAGUAGUACACCGAGGCCGCCGCCAAGGAGAAGAGCUCCUGUGCGCCAGACAGAAGAGCAUGCACCGCCAGCAAGCACAAGCACGCCGCCGUGCUCCUCUUGGCAUACCCAAGAGCGAACCCGUGCAGCGGAGCCACAACGGUAGGCCCGAGGUAUGCCACGAGCACCAGCACGAAUCCCUGCUUCUUCCUCACACGCGUCACGAGCCGCCACGCCUGCCGGAGCGCGCGCAUGCCGCGGCACCUCCGGUCGACCGCCGACACGGCGACGCCCACCAGCGCGACGACGGUGAAGCAGAGGGAGACGUGGUUCGCGAGGUGGGAGACGAGACCCUGGACGGAGAGCACCCUCGAGAGCCCGCCCAUCAGGGCGGGAGUGGGAAUCAGCGCGGCCAGGACCGCCGAUGCGAAGUCAAACGCGUCGACGACGGCGAUGGUGAUGGAAGGACCCUUCAGGCUUAUCCUCCCGUUGACCAGCUCACGCAGGAGCGCUGCUAGCGAGUAGCGGCCACCGGAGUAGGUCGUGGAGGCCGCGAAGAGGGCGAGGAUCUUCUUGACGAAGCCGACCGCCAGGGCGACGAUCACCUCGGAGACGGCGAUGAGGAGGAGCUCUGUACCGCCUGGCUCUGUCUCCUCCGUGAGCUUGGUGUACUCGGCGCCCAAGGGGUCGGUGCUGUUGACCGUGAUGAGACGGCUGCCCAUGUCGUCGACGAGAGGCUGGACGAACACGACAUCUUCCAAGGAGUCAAGGAAGGCGGUGACGGCAAAGAGGAGGAGCACGGGUGCGAACAGCUUGGGGUUUAGCGUGGGCAGGAUCAGCGCUUCCUUUAGGAAAGUAAAGCAUGAGGUGAUCUUGGCAGCCAUGGAUUUUUUUGGGUAAGGUGCUUUCAAGGUUGAAGGGUGCGGGUGGAAAGGAUUGAGGAUUAACGCUGUGGAGGUGGGGAGGCGAUGGCUGGUGUGUGCUCACAGUCACCGGUCAGCCGAGGAAUUGGAAAACUGACGGCAUGUCGUUGUAGCCAAAGGGAAAAUGGGUCCACGGUAAGCUCGGCUCGUCCAUUCCAGCCAGAAGAAUAUCAGGCGACAAGGACAGUAUUUUUUUUAAGGGAGUCUUUUUUUAGGGGCUGGCGACAAGGACAGUGAGGAUAUGGGUAUAUCGCUCGGAUUGGAAGGCCAGCCCAAGACCCACGAAUCCGAGAAUCGGGCGUUUCUGCUUCGUCGCAGGACCGACCGACCUGGGCCAGCCCAUUUGCUAGGAAAAUUGGUCAAGAAAGUUAAAGGUCCUGACAAGUUCAGGUCCGUUUAAAAAAAAUCCCUUUUGGUUAUUUUUACUUUUUUAUUUCUAUUAGAAAAAAUUCCCUCUUAAAAAGAGGUCAGGCAUUUCAAAAUUAUUUGGAAUUAAAAAGCAUAUUUAAAAAGGGAUUUUCCUCAAAUGUUCGUAUUUUUAAAUAUUAUUCCCAAAAACCCGUUUUUAAAUCGUAAAUUCAAAAACUGUUUUGGAAUUUAAAAAUAUAUUCCCUAUUCCAAAAUUUGUUAGGAAAUUUGAAAAAUGUUCGCGUUUCAAUUCUUUUACAAGUUUUUAGAAAAAUCACAAAUUUGAAAAAUAUUCCCUUUGCACAUCUGAAACAAUGUUUGUGUUUUCCAAAACUUUCAAGUUUAAAAAAAUGUUCACAUAUUCGAAAAAAUGUUCCCUUUUUAAAAAAU